UACGGAGGGUGCAAGCGUUAUCCGGAUUCACUGGGUUUAAAGGGCGCGCAGGUGGGUUGGUAAGUCAGUGGUGAAAUCCCCGAGCUUAACUUGGGAACUGCCAUUGAUACUAUUAAUCUUGAAUACCGUGGAGGUUAGCGGAAUAUGUCAUGUAGCGGUGAAAUGCUUAGAUAUGACAUAGAACACCAAUUGCGAAGGCAGCUGGCUACACGAAUAUUGACGCUGAUGCACGAAAGCGUGGGGAUCAAACAGG
rnacentral:rRNA from 1 species